GGUUUCCUCACACCCGUGUGCUGGUUCCUGAAAUACCUUCAAGGGCAUUCCCUCUGCUGCUAAGGGAAGAACAGGAAAAGGUGUGAUGAGCAGAGGAAGCAAAGCCCGAGGUCCAGCAGGAAGAGAAUUCUCCCUGAAGACAGAAUGUGGGUUUACAGAUGUUCUGUGAACUUAUCUACCCUAAGCACUGUCUCACUCGGAGGGCAGUGUGUCCCAGGAGCCUGAGGGUGGAGCUCACACAAAGGACCUGGAUGCUCAGACAAUAGCGCCUCCCUCCACACAGAGACAAGGAAGUCUGACCUGGGGAUGAGUCCAGGUAGUGGUGGGCAGAGAUACCUGGAGCUUACGGCCAUGGCUUUGCAUGGGCAGCAUGGUGUAAAGUGGUCGUCGCUAUAAUGCAAACCCUGAACAGCAAAGGCUGAACGGAGGAGCUCAGUGGAAGAGUACUUGCUUCCCAUACCCGAGGCCCUGGGUUCCAUCUCACCACCACCAACAACAACAAUAACAACAAACAGAGAAACAAUGGGAGAUGAAAAGGGAAAUCUGUUAGUGGAGAGCUCUGGGACGUUCACGUUCAGUUCACAGACUGAUUAACUGAGGGCUUCCCCCCCAGUACAGCCAGAAGUUCUAAGACACAGCUAAUACUUCCUGCUAAACAAACACGUGGUGACUCUGAGGAGGGGGUGGCGGGGGUGUGCUGUGGACAUGAGGUCUCCCGAUGUUGCCCAGACUGACCCCCCAAAUCCUAGACUGAAGCACUCCUCCUGCUUCAGCCUUCUGAGUAACUGGGGUGACAGAUGUGUGCCUCGUUAUUAAACAUAUUUGUAAGUA